rnacentral:rRNA from 2 species
UGAAGAAGGUUUUCGGAUCGUAAAACUCUGUUGUAAGGGAAGAACACGUACGAGAGUAACUGCUCGUACCUUGACGGUACCUUAUUAGAAAGCCACGGCUAACUACGUGCCAGCAGCCGCGGUAAUACGUAGGUGGCAAGCGUUGUCCGGAAUUAUUGGGCGUAAAGCGCGCGCAGGCGGUUCUUUAAGUCUGAUGUGAAAGCCCACGGCUCAACCGUGGAGGGUCAUUGGAAACUGGAGAACUUGAGUACAGAAGAGGAAAGCGGAAUUCCACGUGUAGCGGUGAAAUGCGUAGAGAUGUGGAGGAACACCAGUGGCGAAGGCGGCUUUCUGGUCUGUAACUGACGCUGA